ensembl:lncRNA
GUGAUUUCACCAUAGAUGUGCAUUAGACUUAAUUAGGAAAUAAGAGAUGUGGGCUCUUAUUAGAAAGAAAUUGCUAUCCCCUUGAGACAGAAAAUCAACUAAACGACAUUAUUAGAAACCCAAACACAAGGAUAUCAAAGUGUUCUGUGCCUGGAACUAGUUGCCUCCAAUUAUCCCAUUUGCUCAAGAAAACAAGAAAAAAAUAGAGCAGUUAAAAGAUGGUACUUCAGUUCUAUUAAAUCCAGAAACAGAGGAAGAUUAAUAAAGGAACGUAGGCAGGAUAAGCGGGAGGAAGAGAUUAUUCACUUUAAGAAAUAGUACAGGGAGAAAGGUACCUUGAAGAUGGAGUUAGACCAACAUACAAGGGGCGGAAAAAGGUACCCAAAUUCUAACUGCUUUUAAAGAGGGAAAGGUAUGUUUGUUGUUACUAGAUCAUAAAUGGUGUGUGGAACGUAAAGAUUAUUCACUUUAAGAAAGAGUACAGGGAGAGAGGUACCUCGAAGAUGGAGUUAGACGAACAUACAAGGGGCAGAAAAAGGUACCCAAAUUCUAACUGCUUUUAAGGAGGGAAAGAUGUUUGUUAUUACUAGAGCAUAAGGUGUAUGGUACCUAAGGAAAUCUAAGAGAGAGAAGUCUAGGAUGAUAACCCCAAGAAAACCCAAGUCACUGAGAGGUGACUUUCUAAACCCACAGGACCUCACUUGGAGCAGCUGGGGAACUACUACUUAAAGACUGGAACAGCUGUACCAAGGAGUUACACACAUCUGGACAGACUUAGAAAAUGCAUAAGAGAUAUUCAAAGUAUUUCUUAUGUGAGUUUCCAUGUUAUGCAAUCAUCACAGAGGAGAUACAAGCAUUGCAUUUACUCUGAGAGAACUUAUUGACCUUAGUUGAUGAAUUUAUGAAAUUAGGAUCUUAAUGGAAGGCAGUAGAAAGAUAUGAAGAAAUAUAGAUGUGACAAUCAGAGACCAAGUUCAGGUUUUUGUUAACUGUCUGAUGGAAGAAUCUCUUGAGGAGAUUAUCCGUGUCAUCGAGAGUAGACAAAAUUUGAACAGUGAACAGAGGGCUUGUUAUUUCUUCUCUGUUACUAUGGUAGACUUCACAGAUGAAUCCAGAGUAGUUAUAAAAAUAACUGCCUGGGACAGAAAGCAAAGACAAAAUAAAUGGAAGGGAGCCACAAAGUUCCAGCAGGCAGCAUUAGCUCUUACACAGACUAGAGAAGAAAAAGGACCAGUUUAAGAAGUAGACUAAAUUGUUAAGAAACUCAAGUAGCCUUCCUGAAAGGGGUUGGGGACUAGCACAGGGAAAUUAAAUACCAGUGCAUCAGAAAUUUAAUUUCAGAAGCAACAAAAUUGCUUUAGUGCAGGGAUCUGUUAGUGGUGAUUCUUCAGCUAAGGCAAAUUAUGAACGAAGGAGAAGUCUUUCCUGGCAGAUGGGUUUCAUGUCCCAAGUAAUUCCAUAGCUACGGAUGGUGGAAAUAGCCGCUGUGACACAGGACUAAGAACGGCUGCCCCUGAGAGAUGGUGCAUGUGUGGCAUGGAUUAGAGACUGAAUUGAGGGCACCAUCAGGGACUUAACCCAAGAUUCUAUGGGAAAAAUGGAAAUAGAGGUUCUGGAUAUGCUCGAAGGGAAGAAAGAACCCACAGUGAUUUUGGGGACUGGCUGCUGCUAUUUCAGGUGUCUAUUUCAAAUUUGCAAGGAGACAGAAAUGCCUCAAAUGAUACUAUUAAAGAAGAUGGAAGAACCAAGGCCACAGUUUAGAUAUACCCUAGGGCCAACUGCCCAUAACCAUGUAGUCAAAACUUAAAGUAAUCCUGAUUUCCCCUUAAUGCUCUAAUCAUGACCGAAACACAAAACAUAAGCUUUAUGAGCACUUGAAAUCAAAACAAUCAACUAGAGACAAAUGAGCUUAAAGAACUCUACUUCCCUAAAAGGGAUGGCAAUAUACAACAAGCAAAAAAAAAAAAAAAAAAAAAA